CUCUCUCUUCAUCUUUAUAUGUCUCGCUGCCCACAGCAUCAAUCAUUGCUGCCUAAAAGCUUUCUUCUCGAUACUUCUCCUUUUAUCUGGAAACCGCGAUUACGCAUCGAGAUCUCCGUAUCGCCAUCGCCAACACCAGCUGAUUAUGAGGUUUUUGAAGCCAAAGUCUACUGUUCCAGGAUCUAUCAGUUCAUGGUAUCGUUCCUUCCUUGAUACCAAGCUGGAUAUAUAAUUAUUGAAGCUAUGUUGACUGUUUCCACUAUACAUAAGUGAAGUGAUAUGCUGAUUUGGGAAUGAGGUUGAUACCACCUAACACUCGUCUAAGUGACACAAGUUAGAAGAAAGGACCUCAUAUACUUCAUGUCAUGAAAAGCAUCCACACCUUGCAGUGUAUAUUUAGGAAAUGAAUUUCAUGAUUUUGGAGGUCUCUGAUGUUCAUUCCAGCAAGUUCCUCUCCCAAAAGCUUCCUGCAACCACAACAGAAGAGACAAAUCAUUUCAGAUGAAAGAUGAGAGCAUGACGUGGAUUUUUGGGAACCUGUGUUUCAAGUGGAUCAUGGUGAAUUGUGAUGUCUGCAGCUAGGAAUGGUCUUUCAAUGGUGUAGGGGGAAGAAGUAGAAGAAUAGACACUCAAUAUAGUAAAGCUUCUUCUGGAAGGGGGUAUUAACAUCUGACGAGGGUCAUUCAUUAAUCAUGAGAAUAUGCUUCCUAAUGCUCGAAUAGGGAAAUAACUGCAGGUAGGCAGGUGCGAUGGGUGCAAGUCUUCAGAAGGCGAAACUGAUGACUAGCUUCAGUGAUGCAGAAUUAGUAUAUCUAAUUACCGCCAGGUUUCAGAUUUUCAGGAAAAAGGAGAGGGAAUUAAAAUUGUGAUGGAAACGGAGUAAUUUCAUAGAGGAGAUUCAUGGUUUCUCAUCUUUCUCUCACCAACCAAAUAUGGGGACACAACAAGACUUGUGCGCGGCAGCUGCAUAGAUGCGGCAAGAUCAACACUGUCGGUUGAAUCGACCGGACCGUCUGAUUCACCAUUUUUUUGAUGUAUCAGUAAUAUUAUGUCUACGAAACUUUUGCUUCAAAGCAAAUGAGAUUAUGCGCAUAAAGCAUAAGUUAUGUAGUGUAGUAUUAAUUUCAUAAAUGUCACAUUUUUAAAAGAAAAUAAUGUAAAACUUGAUAGUACAGAUGAAACCUUUUUUUAUAGAAAAAUGACGCUGAUAAAGCAUGAGUAAUAUAAGUGAUAGUACUUCUUUCGUGCCCCGUUAAAUGUCCAUCGGCACGAGUUUUAAGAAAUGUAAAGAAAAGUAGAUUGAAAAAAUUAGUGAAAUAUUAAUCUCAUUUAUAUAUACUUUGUAUUAGUUUUAUAUUGUA